rnacentral:misc_RNA from 1 species
UGGUUCUAGCAUCGAUGAAGAACGCAGCGAAAUGCGAUAAGUAAUGUGAAUUGCAGAAUUUUGUGAAUCAUCGAAUUUUUGAACGCACAUUGCACCUUUUGGUAUUCCGAAAGGUAUGCCUAUUCGAGCGUCAUUUCACCUAUCAAAACUUAAUUGUUUUGGUUUUGAGUUAAAUUGAAAAGAUUGACUUCAAAAAGAAUUAGUUUUUGAUACAAUGAUCUGUAUACAAAAGACUAUAAUUCCUUUUAUGGUUGACCUCGAAUUAGGUAGGAUUACCCGCUGA